UGGGGAAUAUUGGACAAUGGGCGCAAGCCUGAUCCAGCCAUGCCGCGUGAGUGACGAAGGUCUUCGGAUUGUAAAGCUCUUUUGGCGGGGACGAUAAUGACGGUACCCGCAGAAUAAGCCCCGGCUAACUUCGUGCCAGCAGCCGCGGUAAUACGAAGGGGGCUAGCGUUGUUCGGAAUUACUGGGCGUAAAGGGCUCGUAGGCGGCCAACUAAGUCAGACGUGAAAUCCCUCGGCUUAACCGGGGAACUGCGUCUGAUACUGGAUGGCUUGAAUCCGGGAGAGGGAUGUGGAAUUCCAGGUGUAGCGGUGAAAUGCGUAGAUAUCUGGAGGAACACCGGUGGCGAAGGCGGCAUCCUGGACCGGUAUUGACGCUGAGUGAGCGAAAGCCAGGGGAGCAAACGGGAUUAGAUACCCGCGUAGUCCCUGAGCGGGCUGGCAAGGCGCAU
rnacentral:rRNA from 1 species